GAACACCGCCACCUUCUUCAUUUUGUAUUAUAUUAUUUCUCAAGUAAAACACCUUACAGACACACACACAGAGAAAGGAAAAUCAGAAGGAGGGAAUUUGGAUGGAAAAUGACGACUGCCAGUGUCGCCUGGUUUGCUGUAGACAAAAGCCAAUUUUAUUUAGUUAAACUACAUGGCUGCCACUACCAGACCCAUCAAAUAGUACUCUUUCGGGAUUAUCAUUAUCCUCUUUACUUCACUACCG
rnacentral:lncRNA from 1 species